GUUGUAGCACUUGGCUGGUAAAGAGCUCUAACAUGAAUUUGGACUUCUGCCAAUGGCUUGCCAUUGGCAACGGUGCUCUGUGUAUAGACAUCUGCAUGAAUAAGCGGGCUGCCCUGAGAUGAGCCGGACCUCAGCUUGAGAGCUGAAGCAGUUGCUGAAGGAGUUAACAGUUGGAGGCUGUCAGCCAGGCACACUCCUCGAAGCUGGCCAGUGAUUCCUUCUUUGAACAAGAAUGAGUGAUGCAUCUCCAUUUCUGCCUCACGGGAAUAAGGAGAUCUUGAGCUUCUACAAAAACGUGUAACAGAAAACCAACAACCAAUUCCACAGGGAUAUUGAGCGAUCUCAAGUCGAUCUCCAGGUUGGAAGAGAGGGACCCAAGGAGUUAUCCAUGUCUUCAAGAACCAAAUCAUUCUGCAACAUGUGAGCAACCUCUCUGAAGAUUUGCCAGUAGUUGAAUCAUCAUCAAGAUCAUGAUUCUAAUUGGAAAUUGACAUGCCUUAACUGCUUACUGUGAAUGUAGCCUAACUACAAGACUAGUGUCAGAAUAAUGAAAUAAAUGGCCAAGCUUUUAACAUUAGAAUGGCAGAGAAGAACGAGGAACAUUUCAACAAAUUUAUUUCUAAAAUGUCUUUUCAACUGUGCUUUUACCAAUAGGAUUAUGCUAGUCUUCUGAUCAACAUGCAUGUACAAACACAGGACUUCCUCCUACAUGCAAACAUAAACUAUUUUUCCUUCUGGAUCCCUUUACCUUGCCUCUCUUUACCAGGAGCUCGAUGAUGGGAACGAUUUACUGAUCUGCCUAUACUCAGGGAUGUGAGGAAGCAGGACUGAGUCACCCGGGAAAAGAGGAAGAUGGAGACACAGAACUGGGUGGGAGGUCCCCCAAGAACUACUCUGCUGAGCAAAGGCCUUACAAGUCUCUAGUGGGCUGAGCAGCCUGUGGGCUAAUGGCAGAGGACACAGCUCUGUAGAGAAAGCAGCAUGAGCUCCUCUAAGCUUUGUUUCCUACAACAAAAUGGAAUAACUCCUGUGGAGUCUAAGCAUACAUUCCCUCUGCACUGCACCCACGCCUUUGGUUCAUUACAUCGAGGAAAACUGAGACAAAGAGAUUUAUAAUAAACUUCAUCCAAGCCAAGAAAUGAAACACUGCAGCUUCCACGUACAAUAGGUUACAGCUGGAUACCCAUGGAAGUGUUUCUUAUAAGCAUGUGGUUCUACGAUGCUUUUAUGUUGAAGCUUUUCCCUGCCUCCCACUUGAGGAGCACACUGGCUGCUUCUACAGAUUGACUCUGCGUCAUUCCCUGUCAUGAAGCCAUGGUGUGUGUUUAUGCUUCAGUAACAAAGCGUUUAUAGUCUCCCAUCUGCAUAAAAACUGCUGGAGGACAUUAUAGUGAGAAUUCGCAUGGUUUAUACAGCUGCAUGUUGAACGCGAAAAUCUAAGAUGUGAAACAGUAUUCUUUCAUUCUACAGCCUUUGAAUUUUGAUAAAAUGAUAAUAUAAUGCUGAAGAGCGAUAUUUUGAGGACUAUCCAUCAUGAAAUAAACACAGCACAUCUUUUAUAGUACUAGCUGCUGGAAGACAUU